UGGUGGAGUGAUUUGUCUGGUUAAUUCCGUUAACGAACGAGACCUCGACCUGCUAAAUAGUUCGAUCAAUUCUUGGGAUUGGUACGUUUGACUUCUUAGAGGGACUAUUGGUGGUUCAGCCAAAGGAAGUUCGAGGCAAUAACA
rnacentral:rRNA from 1 species